rnacentral:rRNA from 1 species
GAUGAACGCUGGCGGCGUGCCUAAUACAUGCAAGUCGAGCGAACAGACGAGGAGCUUGCUCCUCUGACGUUAGCGGCGGACGGGUGAGUAACACGUGGAUAACCUACCUAUAAGACUGGGAUAACUUCGGGAAACCGGAGCUAAUACCGGAUAAUAUAUUGAACCGCAUGGUUCAAUAGUGAAAGACGGUUUUGCUGUCUCUUAUAGAUGGAUCCGCGCCGCAUUAGCUAGUUGGUAAGGUAACGGCUUACAAAGGCAACGAUGCGUAGCCGACCUGAGAGGGUGAUCGGCCACACUGGAACUGAGACACGGUCCAGACUCCUACGGGAGGCAGCAGUAGGGAAUCUUCCGCAAUGGGCGAAAGCCUGACGGAGCAACGCCGCGUGAGUGAUGAAGGUCUUCGGAUCGUAAAACUCUGUUAUUAGGGAAGAACAAAUGUGUAAGUAACUAUGCACGUCUUGACGGUACCUAAUCAGAAAGCCACGGCUAACUACGUG